GACGAACGCUGGCGGCGUGCUUAACACAUGCAAGUCGAACGGAGUGGCGAACGGGUGAGUAACACGUGGGUGACCUGCCCUGCACUUCGGGAGAAGACUGGGAAAAUGGGUCUAAUACCGGAGAGGGUGGGAUGGGCCCGCGGCCUAUCGGCUUGUUGGGGGGGUAAGGGCCUACCACGGCGGCGACGGGUAGCCGGCCUGGGAGGGUGGACGGCCACAAUGGGACUGAGACACGGCCCAGACUCCUACGGGGGGCAGCGGUGGGGAGUAUUGCACAAUGAGCGGAAGCCUGAUGCAGCGGCGCCGCGUGGGUGAUGACGGCCUUCGGGUUGUAAACUCCUUGCGCCAUCGACGCGGUAGAUGGAGAAGAAGCACCGGCUAACUACGUGCCAGCAGCCGCGGUAAUAC
rnacentral:rRNA from 1 species